rnacentral:tRNA from 1 species
ACCUGGAUAGCUCAGUUGGUUAGAGCAUGGUGCAAGUUCCAGGUUCAGUCCCUAGUAUGGGGA